UAUCCUGACCGUGCAAAGGUAGCAUAAUCAUUUGUUCUCUAAAUAAGGACUUGUAUGAAUGGCCGCACGAGGGUUUUACUGUCUCUUACUUCCAAUCAGUGAAAUUGACCUUCCCGUGAAGAGGCGGGAAUGCACAAAUAAGACGAGAAGACCCUAUGGAGA
rnacentral:rRNA from 1 species